GCUCCAAAAAAGAAAACAAUCAUUGAGGAGAAAGCCAUUGGAGAGAGUCGUCAAGAGGUUGUUAAUGAGAAAAAAAAAAGAAUGAAGAAGAAAAAGAGGUAAUUGAAAAAGAGGAAAACAAACAAGAGAGAGUGAAAGAGAACAACGCAGAAACUGAUAAAGUCAUAAAAUUCAUUAUUGCCUUGUUCAACAACAAUCAGCUAGAGGAGACAUGGAAGCCAUUUCAUCUUUAUUUCAAGUUCAUGGAUUUUCUCCCGAAUAAACUUAAGAAGAAGGAUGACGUGCUUGCUAGGUCACUUUGGACACCUUGACAAGGGGUACAUGCAACAAGCUAAUGACAUUAAACAAACGCUUGUUUAGAGGCAACCCAAUUUUCUUUCCCUUUGUAGUUUUUAUUUAUGUAGAUUAUGUUUUAUGUACAAAUUAGAGUGUGUUAGAACCAUUUUGCAUUAAAAUUGGAAGUUGAACUACUAGUUUGAUUUUCUACAGAAUACUUGAGUUCUAUUAGAUUUGUUAAUCAAAUCUUCAUCUCUCCUAGCAAAUUUAACAGAAAAGUUUCCAAAAUCUUAGGCGGCUAAAUCGCUAAGGGAAUUUUCAUCUCGCAUAGUGAAUUUUGUUUACCUAUAUUGGGUUAUGCAGAUACAUUUUUAUACAAUUGGAACCUAUUUUUGCAUGAUAAUACAAGUUAAGCUUGCAACGACUCAUGGACUAUGAACAGUCCAAAUUUCCUUGAGGGGUUGUGAAGUAGAAACAGAGAUACAAGAAGGGUUGAAAGUACAACAUGCAUUAUGACUUCUAUUAUUUGCAGUCAUUUAUUUUCAUGCUUUAAAUUAUAUGUGCUACAACUAUUGAUUGAACAUGAAUGGAAAUGACAUGGAUUUUGAAAAGUCAAGCAUUGCAUGAAGUAAUUAAAAAAAUCUUGUGCAGUUGAUUUCUUUAGGUUUCAAUAUGUGGUUAUACUUGGACAUAGCAUGAUUAUGAACCUUUUAUCUAAUCAAACUGAAAAUUGAGCAUAUUCAUGAAAAUGUUUUGAAAUGAAGAAAUGCACUAGACCUUAAGCCUUGUGAGUUG
rnacentral:lncRNA from 1 species